ACGCUGCUCACUUAGAGUCAUUCGGUGGGAAAAUAACUUUAUUUGAAAUCCAACAUCUAAAGGGAAACAAAGUUCAGCGUUAGGCAAGAACUUACAUUAUCGUUAGCCCCUAUUUAACUUGUACACGUAUUUGACAAAUAAAUGAUAACGAUGCUUCCUUUAGUGUCCAAUGCAUCAUCAUUAUAUAGCGCCUAGAAGGCAACUAUAUAAAUAGUCGAUUUCCAUUUUUCCGGAACGAUUCCAACAGUACUAUCGAUCAACUAUAUCUCUUCACCUUAUAAUUUCUAUUUUUAUUAUAUCGUAUAAAAUAUAGUCAAAUACUACAAUCAUGUUUCAGGCUUGUUUUAUUUCCAGUGGCAGCCGCUCUGGCGAAAGUCAAGCGGACGUCUGCUUUGUGGAAAGGAAGACAUACUCGUCUGCAUACAUAUGAGCUGUAUUGUACGUUUUUUCGCGGUGAAUUGAAAGCCUGUUUACAUUGUAUUUGAUUUUCUAUGAAAGUCAAUUUCCAUUUAUUUAUAUAGCACUACAACAAUUAUUAUCUGUCAUUCUUUACGCAAACUGUUUGCAUCGGUUAGUCUAUGACCUGACGGCAGAACUCGGUUGUAGUACAUCUUCAAGCCUGACUCAAAGGAAACCACGAAAAUGCUAGCUUCCUGAGAAAUUCUAGUAAGCUAAAAGUCAAAUGACGAUUCUCUAAUUGGGAUCUGCGUAGGUCCGAGCAUACUACCCUUACUAGCUAUUAACAGGCACAAUUUUCACCGCUCUUAAUUAUCCGCAUAUCUAACAUUGGCGUCUUUGUCACAUUUGUUUUUUCGUGACUGAAAGCAGCCCUUGCUAUUUUUUUUAACGGAGAACAGAACUCAGUCACCAAAGUGACGUGAUGAGGAAGCCUAUCGUGUAUUCUUAGACGCCUUUCGGAUUUAACAAUCUUGGCAUCUGGUACAACAUAAACUCAAACAGAGUCUUCCCUCUCGCUGGUGCCUUUGACGCGAGUUUUCGAUAAUGACUGGGGUAAGUUAGAAAACUAGGCGUUAGUUCAUAGCUUAUGAUGCUCUAAACCAGUAUCACGUAUAUAGUGUUUCAGGGAACGUUGUGCAGUACACUUUAGCCUUUUAUUUAUUGUUAUCUGGUAAUGAUUUUUAGGGGAAAAAUGCGGUCCAAGUUUUUUCUGCGUCACCCUGCUCACAUGUGAAACAGGCGAACAUGAUGUUCUCGCGGAUCUAAGCGUUGUUUGUUUCUGAUACACGCACUUUGUACUGGAUACAGAUAAUGUCCAGUAUAUUCGAGUCUCGAUUGGUAACCCCUGCCGUCCAGUGACAAGGCAUCAUGGAUGGUUUUUUUGAUGAAGCUUUGCGAUGUGUGAAACGCAGUCGAACUCUGUAAGAAAAUGUGAACCUUUUAGAACUAGGCAUGAUUGAUACACAGGACGCUUAUCU